rnacentral:rRNA from 1 species
AGCGAACGCUGGCGGCAGGCUUAACACAUGCAAGUCGAGCGGGCGUAGCAAUACGUCAGCGGCAGACGGGUGAGUAACGCGUGGGAACGUACCUUUGGUUCGGAACAACACAGGGAAACUUGUGCUAAUACCGGAUAAGCCCUUACGGGGAAAGAUUUAUCGCCGAAAGAUCGGCCCGCGUCUGAUUAGCUAGUUGGUGAGGUAACGGCUCACCAAGGCGACGAUCAGUAGCUGGUCUGAGAGGAUGAUCAGCCACAUUGGGACUGAGACACGGCCCAAGCUCCUACGGGAGGCAGCAGUGGGGAAUACUGGACAAUGGGGGCAACCCUGAUCCAGCCAUGCCGCGUGAGUGAUGAAGGCCCUAGGGUUGUAAAGCUCUUUUGUGCGGGAAGAUAAUGACGGUACCGCAAGAAUAAGCCCCGGCUAAACUUCGUGCCAGCAGCCGCGGU